CAUACCGUCAAAGCCAUAGCUAUAAGUCUAUGGUCAAAGCAAAAACACAGCUGGUCGGUCUACGUCUCUGAACUUUGACGGUGCCGAUGGGAAGUCCAAAUGAUGCGGAAGUGUUACACUGUAGUUUGCGCACCGAAAUUCGCAUCGUUAUCGUCCGCCGCGUCUCGUGCAGCAUCUAAAUAUCCUGGCAUUUUUGUCAUUUGUGCCUAAUGCCCGCGGCCAGUUUGUGAUACCUCGUCCCGUGUCCUCGGUGUGGUGAUAAUCCGUAAUUCCUUCUCUCCUCUCGCUUAUUUCUCGGUUUUUCUCUCCCGUUUAUCCCUAAUCGGUUUUUUUUUCUUCUACUAUUUUAUGCGUUUGUGUUUACCUUCGGAACGGGACAAUCGGCAGUUUCUCUUCUCCCACACAAAGGAACCCUCAAGGCAUCUGCGCUGGCCUCUGUUCUUUGAUGAAUAUGACGAUAGAGUGAUGCUGGUCUCACCGUAGUUGAAAGCACGAAACCAGAACGUCCUCAGAGACGAACCUGCAAUCAAAGAUGGCGUCUACUAGCGGGCACAAAAGAAAUGGAUCCAGUUCCAGCAUGUUCGGUCACAAACGCACCGAAUCCGGCGGUGGCUUUAUUGGCCACAAACGUUCGGAAAGUGGCCACAAAAGAAACGAAAGCAUAUCAAGUGCGCUUGGCCAUAAACGGUCAGAAAGUGGUCACAAAAGGUCCGAAUCUGGCAGCAACUAUCACACGGGUCACAGGAGAAACGAAAGCAUGUACGCGAUGACUGGGCUCUACGCCGAAAGCACGGCUGCUGGAGAAGACGCGGAUUUGUCACAGCCAAGCAGCAGUAGACUGACACAUGACACAGUGAUCAGGUGUCACAGUAGGAAUCCAAGUUCCGGUAUUGUUGAUCACAGAGAUUUCAUCAUCAAAUGUCACAGCAGGAAUCCCAGUGCUUCCAUGGUCGACAGGACUGAAAAGGAAAGAGCGCAGACACCACCGAUUAAUCCAGAUUCAAAGGACUGUGGAAUUUUAACAUGCAGGCCAAUUUUUAUACAAAGAUUCGCAGGGAUAAAGGUGUUCGUAUUCCUUCUGUCAUUCCUUGUUACGCUGCAGCAGGCACUUAGCUCUGGUUACAUUAAUUCUGUAAUAACAACAAUAGAGAAAAGAUUUGAGAUACCGUCAAGCCUCUCAGGUCUGAUCGCCAGUUCAUACGAAAUUGGCAAUGUAAUAACGGUGAUAUUUGUAAGCUAUUUAGGCAGCCGACGGCAUAUUCCCGUUUGGAUAGCAAUUGGCGCCGUGAUAAUGGGCAUUGGCUCAAUGAUUUUUAUGGUGCCUCAUUUCACAGCCGAACCUAACUUAGGUACAGCAUCGAAUAACUCAAGUUCAGAUAACAUAUGCCGUGGUGUAUCGCUCCGCGAACAAGACAUGGGCUUAGGCCGACUUUCUACCGGUUUAUCAUCGCCGCCUUUAGCCCCACACAAUAAUCUUCGCGGUGACAACUGCAUACAAGGGUCUCCUUCUACCGCUGGUCCGGUGAUGCUUUUCGUACUUGCGCAACUGCUUCUUGGUUGUGGUGGUUCACCUUUGUUCACUCUCGGAACAACUUACAUUGAUGAUCACGUCAGGCCGGAGAGUGCCUCUUUGUACAUCGGCUGCAUGUACAGUAUGGCAGCUUUUGGACCUGUUCUUGGAUUUCUUCUCGGUGCUUAUUUAUUGUCUUUUCACAUGGAUUCGUUCGCCGGAACUAUCAUCAGCAUAGAUCCAGGCGAUCAUAGAUGGGUUGGAAUGUGGUGGGGUGGAUUUUUACUCUGCGGUUUGCUGCUGGUAUUAGUGGCAGUGCCGUUUUUCAGUUUUCCGAAAACUUUACAACGUGAGAAAGAGAAAAUUCGGAUAAUUGAAAAGAGCAAGCCAAUAACAGCAAAGGAGAAAGAGCAGAACAAAGAACCCAUGAAGGAACAAACAUCUGACAAUACCGCUUAUGGCAAAGACGUCAAAGACAUUCCACGGAGCAUGUGGAGACUGGUGUGCAAUCCUGUUUACGUGGUGACAUGUCUUGGUGCCUGCAUGGAGCUGGUAAUAGUUUCGGGCUUCGUUGUGUUUCUGCCAAAGUAUUUGGAGACGCAAUUCAGUUUGGGAAAAAGCCAGGCCAGCAUAUUCACUGGUUCAAUCGCGAUCCCCGGUGCUUGUAUCGGCAUAUUCUUUGGUGGCUGUCUACUGAAACGUUUGGAACUGAGGCCUAAGGGUGCUGUUCAAUUCGUCCUAGUCUCAAAUAUAAUCUGCCUUGUUUGUUACGGCCUUUUGUUUUUCCUCGGCUGUGACAAUGUCAAAAUGGCCGGCACCACCAUACCCUAUUUUAACAGCACGACCAAAGGGCCUGAACCAUUUCAAGUUAAUCUUACUGCCGCCUGCAACUUUGGGUGCGAAUGCCGAAUGACUGACGUUGAACCAGUUUGUGGCAACAAUGGCUUGACUUAUUUUAGCCCCUGCCACGCGGGUUGCACGGCAUUCAGCUCAAAGUCCAACUUUACCAACUGCGCGUGCAUUCACGGUAAUCUCAGCAUGGUGCCACCAGCUGCGCCGGAAUUCGCUGAAGUUACUGUUGUUCCCGUUGCUACGGCUGGCCCAUGCACCUCGCCUUGUAGGACUAUAUUUCCGUUUCUUAUUCUAUUAUUCUUCAUGACCUUCAUCGUCGCUGUAACACAGAUGCCUUUAUUAAUGAUCGUAUUACGAUCCGUCUCUGAAGAAGAGCGGUCCUUUGCUCUUGGAAUGCAAUUUGUCAUCUUCAGAUUGUUUGGGUAUAUACCAGCACCUAUAUUGUUUGGCAAUUUGAUAGAUUCAACGUGCAUUCUGUGGAAAAGUACUUGCGGUGAAAAAGGGGGCCGUUGUUUGCUUUAUGACAUUGAACAAUUCAGAUACAGAUACGUCGGACUUUGUGCCGGUAUAAAGAUUCUGGCGUUGGCACUAUUUUUGGUCGAUUGGUGGCUAGUGAGAAGGAGAAGACACCUCGAAGAACAUCCGCCACCAUUGACAGUCAACGAAGUUGUCGGAUCGAUAAUCAGCCUAGACAAAUUGUUUGAAGAAAGACCGCAACAUUUGAACACUGCUGAUGGUGACACAACUUCACCAAGCACCGAGGGGCCAACGCCAUCUUCGAUUUCGUCGCCCACCGAGCCAACAAAGUCUACAAAUCUUGAGGAAACGGAAUCAUCAAAUCACACCGAAGCGUCGAAUGACAUCAACAAUCCUCAAACAAAAGAUCCUUUUGACAUUCCUGACACAAGGCAAGCUCCGCUUGCCACAGAAGAUUUGGAGGUAGAGAUCAAGCGGCCGGACAGUACUGAUAAACUUCAUCCAAGUGUUUAAUGAGAGCUGGCAUUAGGAUAUUGAAUUUGAAUGUACAAUUCUCACAUGGCGAUUUCAAAAACAGUGUGGAAGGACCCCAACGUUAAUUUAUAUAUUGAAAAGAAAGGCGCUUGGCGGAGAGUUGCUGAAUAAUUUCUCGUGAAUUAAUGUCGCACUCCUCUACAAUAUAAAUGAAUUUAUAUAAAAGAAAGAGCAAAAAAAGACUUGCACCUAUAUCACUAGAAAUAAAUUUUUCAAAUUGACGCAUGGACAAAGUUUAUAAGUUUUAUCUCCUUGAACUCUGAAAUUGUCCAUUUUCCCGCGCAUGAAGAGAAAAAACGCCUUUUACAAGUAUUUCAAUAAACCCGUAAAAUUUCUAAGAAUUCUAAUAUUAAAAGAAAUGGUGUAACUGCCUACAUAUUUUUUUUUUUUUUUUUUUCCCUAUGAAUACUGAAUCUUUGCUCUGUUGAAGAUACAAUGAGCCCGCGUAAAACGUAAAUAAAAUUGAUAAUGUACAUAAAUACAUAUGUGUAUAUAUAUAUAUGUCGAACAUAUAAAAUUAUAUAUUCGAUAUAUGUACAUACAUAAAAAUUCCUGCCUUAAGAAAUAUAAGACUAGAAAAAUGAUUAAAUAAUGAAGUAAGACGUAUCUAACUCUUAUAGACACACACAUGGUAUAUGCGCUAAUCCGCGUUAUUUUUACCAAUUUUCGUUCCGCUUCUGAUUUUGAAUUUUUAUGUCAAUAUACGGCAGGCAGCUGGUCAAAAUCGGUAGCUGGUCAAAAUCACAUGGAAUAUCGCAUAUACGAUAUACAUAUAUAUACACACAAGACAUUUGUUACGAGCGUUUCUUACAGGUGUUGAAAAAAUGCACCAAGGUUAUACAGUUUAUGUUUUAGUAUAUCCUUUGUGGUACCUGCACCAAACUCUCGUAAAAAAAAAAAAAAAAUUAAAAAAGAUCUAUAUAAUAUAAAACAUAAA
rnacentral:misc_RNA from 1 species